rnacentral:rRNA from 1 species
AGUGAACGCUGGCGGUAGGCCUAACACAUGCAAGUCGAACGGCAGCACAGUAAGAGCUUGCUCUUACGGGUGGCGAGUGGCGGACGGGUGAGGAAUACAUCGGAAUCUACUUUUUCGUGGGGGAUAACGUAGGGAAACUUACGCUAAUACCGCAUACGACCUGCGGGUGAAAGCAGGGGAUCUUCGGACCUUGCGCGAUUGAAUGAGCCGAUGUCGGAUUAGCUAGUUGGCGGGGUAAAGGCCCACCAAGGCGACGAUCCGUAGCUGGUCUGAGAGGAUGAUCAGCCACACUGGAACUGAGACACGGUCCAGACUCCUACGGGAGGCAGCAGUGGGGAAUAUUGGACAAUGGGCGCAAGCCUGAUCCAGCCAUACUGCGUGGGUGAAGAAGGCCUUCGGGUUGUAAAGCCCUUUUGUUGGGAAAGAAAAGCAGCAGGUUAAUACCCCGCUGUUCUGACGGUACCCAAAGAAUAAGCACCGGCUAACUUCGUG